AUUGAACGCUGGCGGCAUGCCUUACACAUGCAAGUCGAACGGUAACGGGUCCUUCGGGAUGCCGACGAGUGGCGAACGGGUGAGUAAUAUAUCGGAACGUGCCCAGUAGUGGGGGAUAACUGCUCGAAAGAGCAGCUAAUACCGCAUACGACCUGAGGGUGAAAGGGGGGGAUCGCAAGACCUCUCGCUAUUGGAGCGGCCGAUAUCAGAUUAGCUAGUUGGUGGGGUAAAGGCCUACCAAGGCAACGAUCUGUAGUUGGUCUGAGAGGACGACCAGCCCCACUGGGACUGAGACACGGCCCAGACUCCUACGGGAGGCAGCAGUGGGGAAUUUUGGACAAUGGGCGCAAGCCUGAUCCAGCAAUGCCGCGUGCAGGAAGAAGGCCUUCGGGUUGUAAACUGCUUUUGUCAGGGAAGAAAUCUUCUGGGCUAAUACCCCGGGAGGAUGACGGUACCUGAAGAAUAAGCACCGGCUAACUACGUGCCAGCAGCCGCGGUAA
rnacentral:rRNA from 1 species